UUCCGGUUGAUCCCGCCGGAGGCCACUGCUAUUGGGGUUCGACUAAGCCAUGCGAGUCGCGCGAUAUAGCGGCGUACGGCCCAGUAACACGUGGAUAACCUACCCUCGGGACAGGGAUAACCUCGGGAAACUGAGGCUAAUACCUGAUAGGUAAAAUGCACUGGAAUGUGCUUUUACCGAAAGCUCCGGCGCCCGAGGAUGGGUCCGCGCCCGAUUAGGUUGUUGGUAGGGUAACGGCCUACCAAGCCUACGAUCGGUACGGGCAGUGAGAGCUGGAGCCCGGAGAUGGGAACUGAGACAAGGUCCCAGGCCCUACGGGGCGCAGCAGGCACGAAAACUCCGCAAUGGGCGAAAGCCUGACGGGGGAACCCCAAGUGCCUCUGUUUUGCAGAGGCUUUUCUCUGGUGUAAGGAGCCAGAGGAAUAAGGGCUGGGUAAGACCGGUGCCAGCCGCCGCGGUAACACCGGCAGCCCAAGUGGUGGCCACGUUUAUUGGGCCUAAAGCGUCCGUAGCCGGGUAUUCAAGUCCUCAGGUAAAUCCUGCGUAUAUGCGUGGGAAUUCUGAGGAUACUGUUUACCUUGGGGCCGGGAGAGGUUGGGGGUACUCCAGAGGUAGCGGUAAAAUGCUAUAAUCUUUGGGGGACCACCGGUGGCGAAGGCGCCCAACUGGAACGGACCCGACGGUGAGGGACGAAACCCAGGGGAGCGAGCCGGAUUAGAUACCCGGGUAGUCCUGGGCGUAAAUGAUGCGGGCUAGGUGUGAGGGUAUCCACGAGAUAGCCUUGUGCCGAAGGGAAGCUGUUAAGCCCGCCGCCUGGGGAGUACGGCCGCAAGGCUGAAACUUAAAGGAAUUGGCGGGGGAGCACCACAAGGGGUGGAGGCUGCGGUUUAAUUGGAUUCAACGCCGG
rnacentral:rRNA from 1 species